GCUGUUUGUCUUAAAAAUAAAAUAAAAUAAUUUAAAAAUUAAUAAAAUUAAUAUUUCGCAUUCACUACGUGUGUUACAUGCUACAACCACAUAUUUUUUUAAAUUUUCGAAAAUGAAUGAUCGGCGAUUGGAUCGUAGUAUGGCUUUGUAUUGACUGAAGCUCCGUUCAAAGUCACAUGAUGUAGUUGGCGCGUAUUUAAG